rnacentral:pre_miRNA from 1 species
CUGCCUUAUCCAGAGACCAGCUGACCAGGACAUGUCCUUGGUUCUGUGAGAGGGGCAAUGGG